AUUGUUGGCCUGACUGAUAGCCACAGACCUCCCCUGUGGAGGCUGUUGGGGAAGUAACUUCAACAGGAGCCAGGGGUCCAGGACACAUGAUCUAAUGCCUUCCAUCCCAUAUAAAAUCUCCAUUCUCCUAUUGAUCAUUUGUAACUUUUAGGACAACCACAGAUUGAACCAGCAUCAGAUGAUGUUCUGCCAGCAUUAUUUUUUGUAAUUCUAAAAUCUGCAUUCUGCUAUUGAUCAUUUGUAACUUUUUGGACAUCCACAGCUAAGUAACCAUACCAUUAUGAUACUCCUGUGAGCUGCCUACGUUCUACAACCACAGCUCUCUGAUAACUGUAGUCUCCCCUCCCCCAGCCUGAAACCUGCUUGCUCAGGGGUGGAGCUUCCUGUUCAUUCGUUCUGCCACGCCCACUGCUGGAACCUGUGGAGCCACACACGUGCACCUUUCUACUGGACCAGAGAUUAUUCGCCCCUCUUCUCUUCCAGGUUUCCAAAAUGCCUUUCCAGGCUAGAACCCAGGUUGUGGUCUGCUGGCCGGAAACAACAAUUAGCGAACCAACGCGGGACUGAGAAAUGGCAAAGGAUUUUUGGAAGAGACGCUGCUGGUUCAGAGCUCCAUAAAAUAAAGGAUAAAGGAAAUUCAUACCGGAGAAGGUAAAUCAACAUUCUCGAGCCGGACCAGCGGAUGUGCAUCCCCGCCCCCCCUAGAGCACACAGGUGACAGCUGUUAUCUCCAUUCUCAGGACAUUCCAGCACGUGGCCUUCAGUCUGAUUUAAAAUUUAAGUUUACCAAGAGGGCUAAAAAAGUAAAUAUUUCUAUAUUAAUAAAGAUUAGUUUUUAUU
rnacentral:lncRNA from 1 species